rnacentral:rRNA from 1 species
UUAGCAUAUCAAUAAGCGGAGGAAAAGAAACCAACAGGGAUUACCUCAGUAACGGCGAGUGAAGCGGUAAUAGCUCAAAUUUGAAAUCUGGCUUCGGUCCGAGUUGUAAUUUGUAGAAGAUGCUUCGGGUGUGGCUCCGGUCUAAGUUCCUUGGAACAGGACGUCAUAGAGGGUGAGAAUCCCGUAUGUGACUGGCUGCCUUCGCCUAUGUGAAGCUCUUUCGACGAGUCGAGUUGUUUGGGAAUGCAGCUCAAAAUGGGUGGUAUAUUUCAUCUAAAGCUAAAUAUUGGCCAGAGACCGAUAGCGCACAAGUAGAGUGAUCGAAAGAUGAAAAGCACUUUGGAAAGAGAGUUAAACAGUACGUGAAAUUGUUGAAAGGGAAGCGUUUGCAACCAGACUUGCACGUUGCCGAUCAUCUGGUGUUCUCACCAGUGCACUCGGUUUCGUUCAGGCCAGCAUCGGUUUGGGUGGUUGGAUAAAGGCCUUGGGAAUGUAGCUUCUUUCGGGGAGUGUUAUAGCCCUCGGUGCAAUGCAGCCUACCUGGACCGAGGACCGCGCUUCGGCUAGGAUGCUGGCGUAAUGGUUGUAAACGACCCGUCUUGAAACACGGACCAAGGAGUCUAACAUCUAUGCGAGUAUUUGGGUGUUAAACCCAUAUGCGUAAUUAACGUGAACGGAGGUAAGAGCCCUUAAGGGUGCAUUAUCGACCGGUCCUGAUGUCUUCGGAAGGAUCUGAGUAAGAGCAUAGCUGUUGGGACCCGAAAGAUGGUGAACUAUGCCUGAAUAGGGUGAAGCCAGAGGAAACUCUGGUGGAGGCUCGCAGCGGUUCUGACGUGCAAAUCGAUCGUCAAAUUUGGGUAUAGGGGCGAAAGACUAAUCGAACCAUCUAGUAGCUGGUUCCUGCCGAAGUCUCC